AUGGCUCUGCAUGACGCGGGCACGCUUGUUACCGAACAAGCGCGGCUAGUGCGAAGUAGUUGCAGUUAUGUAUUGCUAGAUGUUGGCGAAGACAGCAAAUGCAAUUUCGGGGCAACAUAGCAAAGCGAGCGCCAUUCGUCAGAAGAAAAGAACUGCCUGCUUCAUUUCAACUGGGCCAAAGAGUGCCACAGCAGUCAGCAGAAUUGCAGCAUCUGGUAGUCAUACGCUAGAUCGAGAUAGCUUGUAAACCUCCUACACUUCCACGAGUGCUUACACGAGGAACAAUUUCUUCUCAGCAAGAUGUGCACUUCACUUUGAGAGGAGCAUGAAAACAAAGUAGUGAUGUCAUCCGAUAAAGGUUCAUUUUCGUUCGUUGUUGUGAGGGUUAGUUUGGGCAGAUCAUUCGGUGGAAAGAUAGCAAGGCUUACCGGGGUGCCUCUGCUAGCGUUCAAAAGUUUGCACAGUCGCGUCAAGCUAGUGGUGGACACAAAUGCCUCGUUUUUUUGCAGCCGUGCGGUAUCACCUGAAUCGAAAUGCCAAAGUGACAAAAGCUUUAUUAGUUUUCGCUCUUUCCUGGCAUUGAGUGCGCAUGCGCGGUGAUCAAACAUUCUGCAUUCGUGAAUACAUGCCACUUACACGGCAUCGAAACAUCAGGAAUGGCUGAUGAAAGAAGCUACGAAUACACGCCUCCUGAGUUUAUUAUGACGGACGAGGCAACUGCAAGUACCAGCUGUGGCGGUACCACGGGCGCUUCCUCUGCUUUGAGCGCCUACGCAACCAUUCCUGAUGACGCGUGGAAGUACCAGUGAAACACACAGCCCACGCCGAUAACCGACUGGACUUACAACGUCGAAGGCGCCGCUGACAAUGGCAUCACAAGUUGCCAGCCACUGGGGUGCGUCAGUAGCAGCAAUAACGCAAGGCCCAGCGCAAGCCGCGCUGGCAUGGAGGAAGCAUCAGGCAAUUUUGAAGGCGGCCCCACUACUGCAACGGCAGUUUUGAGCGUUCGGCCGGAGCAGCCUGCCUUGACAUACUUCAUCGUUGCAGCAGCGUGACCGGACAAGCACAGA